UACGUAGGGCGCAAGCGUUGUCCGGAAUACUGGGCGUAAAGCGUGCGCAGGCGGUUUUGUAAGUCUGUCGUGAAAGCCCCGGGCUCAACCUGGGAAUUGCGAUGGAGACUGCAAGGCUUGAAUCUGGCAGAGGGGGGUAGAAUUCCACGUGUAGCAGUGAAAUGCGUAGAUAUUGUGAGGAACACUAGUGGCGAAGGCGAGACUCUGGACAGUUUCUGACGCUGAGGCACGAAGGCCAGGGGAGCAAACGGG
rnacentral:rRNA from 1 species